rnacentral:lncRNA from 1 species
CCGUAAAAGAAAAAUAACACGCCAUUCCUCCAAGUAUAAAAAAAAAGAAAAAGAAAAAGAAAACAACACCUGAGAGUGCGGACCAACCAGCCCUUCAUGGAUCCUAAUGGUAUCCGAAUUAGUUUGCGAAAAUCCUGAGGGGUGAUAUCGUUGAGAUCAUUUGGGAAUUGAUUAACAAAACCCUUAUGUAGUAAUGACUCGUAUGUGCCCAAGGAUAAUUCGUCAAGA